ACCCUCGAGAAAACAAUCCAACUACUUAAAACCCUAAACACUGAAACAGCCAUGUCUGUAGCCGCUGCCAGGUCCGCCCUGCGGUCCACCGCCGCCACCAGAGCCACCGUCUCCGCCAGAAUAACGGCUGGGCUCAAACCCAAUGCCAGACCCACUACCUCUCCCUUUCGGAUCUCCAAACAGAAACCCCUUUCUCAUCGCAUUUUCAGGUCCCCAGUGGAGAUGAGCUGCUGCGUAGAAACGUUGCUGCCGUUUCACACUGCCACCGCCUCUGCAUUGCUUACUUCAAUGCUCUCCGUUUCUCGUCGAAGCUACGGUUGGACCCCUGAAGAUUGCAAUGAUGAUGUAUGAUGAAUGUCAAAGAGUUCGGGAGAAGUUUUGUGCAUGCGCUCUAAGACAAGGUGGCCAAAUAAAGCUUUGUAGUAGGAUUCUAGAGAUUCUUGCCUGUUAGGAAGGUUUAACAAGGUGCUGAAAGAAAAUUUUGUUAUUCAAGAACUUGGAGAGCCAAGUUAUAAAUGGGUGCUUUUUAGUACUGUUGUGAUUCAAAUAAGCUGUGUAUUAGAGUGGUGUUUAUAAUUAUGAUAAUGAUGGAUGAUUGUUGUUUCUUGGAUGCCGUGCAUUGAUCGUAGUCUACAUCGAUAAGAUCAGACUUUGUUAUCACCUCUUUUAGCAAUUGUUCUUCCUCAGAUGUUUUCAUUUGAGCAUCUGGAUGUAGGUACUAGGUACCAUGAGGAAAUAGACUAUUUUAUUUUUAUGACUCAUCUUUCCUGACAGAAUUCUUUGAUACAAGUUACGGAUAUAAGAACAAGAAUUUAAUUAUCUUUUUCCCUGGA